rnacentral:rRNA from 1 species
CACGUAGGGCGCGAGCGUUGUCCGGAAUUAUCGGGCGUAAAGAGCUCGUAGGCGGCCUGUUGCGUCCGCUGUGAAAGCCCGGGGCUUAACCCCGGGUCGGCAGUGGAUACGGGCAGGCUAGAGGUAGGUAGGGGAGAAUGGAAUUCCUGGUGUAGCGGUGAAAUGCGCAGAUAUCAGGAGGAACACCGGUGGCGAAGGCGGGUCUCUGGGCCGAUACUGACGCUGAGGAGCGAAAGCGUGGGGAGCGAACAGG